AACCUUGGGAAGGUCUAGUCUGUUGUCCCCCGGCCGGUUCACCCAUUUCAACUUGCUUGCGCUGGCGCACCUCUGCUUCGCCUUGCCUUCCCCUUCCUUGCACAGACUGCCAGACGGAAUCACGCAAGACCCGUGCCUCCAUUCCUAGCCCCAACCGAAGCGAAGCACGCCACCGGCCUCAAAAGUCAAAGGGAUCAUCUUCUCUAGUUCUCUACCACUCGUCCUCGCGGCCCUGUUCCUCCUCUUCCAUAGGGGACUGACUGCGGCGGAGUGGAGAUCCGUGCCGACAUAGUCCGACUUCUUCGGUCGCUGCCUACGAUUGAUGGCCUCACCUUCACCAACCGAGUUCAGUAAGGAAGCAGCUCGUCAGUCUCUGAUCGCAAUCUCCCAGUCCAUUCCGGAGACACCUUCACCCCAGACGGUGAAGACACCAAUCUCCAGUGCAGAAAACGGGAAGCUGGGCGAUGGGGCGGACAAGUUCAGAUCAAAGCUGAUGUCCAUCACAGACCUGUCUUCUGAUGCCCAACCUGCGCAGUGCCCUCCCAAGGAUGUUGCUGCUUGAUCGUGUGAUUCCCUGCUCGACUUGCGGACAUAAUGUAUCAGUGCUUGCUGAUGCUCUGGACAUUUAGCUGUCGUGCAUUAAACUGAACGUCCUUGUGUUACUAGUCGUUUUUCUUCGUUAAAUAUUCAGAGAAACGGGUGGAAAUAUAUUGUUCAAGUUUCCUGACUGCUGAUAAGGAACAAGUUAAUCUGAACAUGCUGUCAUGCACUCAUGCUCGGAAAACCUCUUUGUUCCCGUUAAGUUUCUGAUA